rnacentral:lncRNA from 1 species
GACUAGGUCCAUUGUGGAGGACUUACAAAAGCUCCAUCUGGGCUUAGGCCUGCAGAGUUGCAAUAAAACUUGGUGAGCGUUAAUGAAAAAGAAUUUCCAGUUCCUUAUAGAUUCAGUCUGGGAGAUUCCUGCUUGGGUCCCUUGUUUCAGGAAAUAUUGGGGGCAUAACUAUUUUGUACCUUUUCCUGUUUGCUGACAGAAAUGAAGAAUACUUAAUCCUGUCUCCUGAGAAUGCUGGGGGAGCCCCAGCUUGGUCAUUUAGGAAAUGCUUCUUGAGGGCCCACUAUGUGCAGGGAUGUAUGCUCAACUGAAGGCCCUGCCUUCACAGCGCUUCCAGGGCAGUGAGGGGGACAGCAAGGAAGCAGAUCCACAGGGUACACAGCAGGAGGGAGCAGUGAGGCUGGGAUGGUCAAAGAAAGCGCCCUUCUGAGAGGCUUGAGGAGGAGGCAGCACUGGUGAGGGUACCCUAGAGAAGACCAGGGGAGAGUUUUGGCCUGCCCCAAAGGGUGACUGCUUCUGACAGGCAGACGUGGAGGGUAGGGAGGAGGGCAGGAGAAUAUUCCAGGUAGAAAGGACAGUUUGAGCAAAGGUAAACAAAACAACUAGGUUCCUAAAUUUCUUAAUCUAAAAAUUAGAUUUGCAGGUGUGUUAGGCUGUUCUUGGGUUGCAAUGAAGAAAUACCCAAGGCUGGGGAAUUUAUAAAGAAAAGAGGUAGUGGGGCAUGAGCCACCCCGCCCAGCCCUGAGCAGCCCUUUCGUGGGAACCUUAAAGAGCACACUCAUAAAGAAUGGAAGGUGGAUUAACAGACGAUUGGAUAAAGAAGGUGUGAUGUGUGCAUGCCAUGGAAUACUGCUAAGCCACGAAAAAUGAAAUUAUGUUUUUUACAACAGCAUGGAUAGAACUGGAGGUUAUUAAGUGAAGUAACUCAGAAAUGGA